rnacentral:rRNA from 1 species
UUGAAAAAUUUUUAAAUAAAAAGAAAAAUUUUUUUUUUGUACCUUGUGUAUCAGGGUUUAUUAAAUAAUUAAUAAUUAUUUUUAUUAUUCUCGAUUUUAUAAGAGUUAAUAAUUUAUUAAAUUUAAUGUAUUAAAAUUAUUUUUAAUUUAUUAUUGGAAAUGAAAUGUUAUUCGUUUAUAAAGGUAUCUAGUUUUUUUAGAAAUAAAUUUAAUUUAUAAAUUUUUAAUUUUUUUAUUAUUUAUUAAAUAAAAAAAAUUAUUAAUUUAAUUAUUUUAAGGGAUAAGCUUUAAAAUAAAUUAUUAUAAUUUAAUUAUUAUAGAUUAAAAAUUAUAUGCUUAGAAUUAGCAAUUAUUAGUGAUAUUGUUGUAAAUUAUUUUAUAGAUAUAUUAUUUAAUUAAAUUUAAUUUUUUAUAAAAAUUUUUUCUUUAAUUAAUUAUAAAAAGAAUUAAUGGUAAAAUUAGUAUAAAUUUAUGUAAUAGUAAAUUUAUUUGGUAAGUUUAUAGUAAAGAACUCGGCAAAUAUUGUACUCGCCUGUUUAACAAAAACAUGUCUUUUUGAGUUAUUUUUAAAGUCUAACCUGCCCAAUGAAAUUUUAAAUGGCCGCAGUAUUUUAACUGUGCAAAGGUAGCAUAAUCAUUAGUCUUUUAAUUGAAGGCUUGUAUGAAUGGUUGGACGAAGUAUAAACUGUUUCAUUUAAAUUUAUAGUAGAAUUUUAUUUUUUAGUAAAAAAGCUAAAAUAUUAUUAAAAGACGAGAAGACCCUAUAAAUCUUUAUAUUAUGAGUUAUUAUUUUUUUCUAGAUUUUUUAAAAUUUAAUAUAUUAUAAUAUUUUAUUGGGGUGAUAUUAAAAUUUAUUUAACUUUUAAUUAUAAUUUUACAUUAAUUUAUGAUUUAUUGAUCCUUUAAUAAUGAUUAUAAGAAUAAGUUACUUUAGGGAUAACAGCGUAAUUUUUUUGGAGAGUUCUUAUCGAUAAAAAAGUUUGCGACCUCGAUGUUGGAUUAAGAGAUAUUUUUAGGUGUA